AUUGAACGCUGGCGGCAGGCCUAACACAUGCAAGUCGAACGCGUGGCGGACGGGUGAGUAAUGUUUGGGACACCGCCUGAUGGAGGGGGAUAACUACUGGAAACGGUAGCUAAUCCCGCAUACCAUCAGAUGUGCCCAGAUGGGAUUAGCUAGUUGGUGGGGUAACGGCUCACCAAGGCGACGCUCCCUAGCUGGUCUGAGAGGUUGCCCAGACAACCUGGAACUGAGACACGGUCCAGACUCCUACGUGAGGCAGCAGUGGGGAAUAUUGGACAAGGGGCGCAAGCCUGAUGCAGCCAUGCCGCGAGUAUGAAGAAGGCCUUCGGGUUGUAAAGUAAUUUCAGCGGGGAGGCGUUACCCGCAGAAGAAGCACCGGCUAACUCCGUGCCAGCAGCCGCGGUAAUUC
rnacentral:rRNA from 1 species